rnacentral:rRNA from 1 species
CCUACGGGGGGCAGCAGUCGAGAAUCAUUCACAAUGGGGGAAACCCUGAUGCUGCGACGCCGCGUGGGGGAAUGAAGGUCUUCGGAUGGUAAACCCCUGUCAUGUGGGAGCAAAUUAAAAAGAUAGUACCACAAGAGGAAGAGACGGCUAACUCUGUGCCAGCAGCCGCGGUAAUACAGAGGUCUCAAGCGUUGUUCGGAAUCACUGGGCGUAAAGCGUGCGUAGGCGGUUUCGUAAGUCGUGUGUGAAAGGCGCGGGCUCAACCCGCGGACGGCACAUGAUACUGCGAGACUAGAGUAAUGGAGGGGGAAGCGGAAUUCGCGGUGUAGCAGUGAAAUGCGUAGAUAUCGAGAGGAACACUCGUGGCGAAGGCGGGUUCCUGGACAUUAACUGACGCUGAGGCACGAAGGCCAGGGGAGCGAAAGGGAUUAGAUACCCUAGUAGUC